rnacentral:rRNA from 1 species
UGAGGAAUAUUGGUCAAUGGGCGAGAGCCUGAACCAGCCAAGUCGCGUGAAGGAAGAAGGAUCUAUGGUUCGUAAACUUCUUUUGCAGGGGAAUAAAGUGCAGGACGUGUCCUGUUUUGUAUGUACCCUGAGAAUAAGGAUCGGCUAACUCCGUGCCAGCAGCCGCGGUAAUACGGAGGAUCCGAGCGUUAUCCGGAUUUAUUGGGUUUAAAGGGUGCGUAGGCGGGAUAAUAAGUCAGUGGUGAAAGUUUGCAGCUUAACUGUAAAAUUGCCGUUGAAACUGUUAUUCUUGAGAGUAGAUAAGGUAGGCGGAAUGUGUUGUGUAGCGGUGAAAUGCAUAGAUAUAACACAGAACCCCGAUUGCGAAGGCAGCUUACCGGGCUACAUCUGACGCUGAUGCACGAAAGCGUGGGGAUCAAACAGGAUUAGAUACCCUGGUAGUCCACGCAGUAAACGAUGAUUACUAGCUGUUUGCGAUACACAGUAAGCGGCACAGCGAAAGCGUUAAGUAAUCCACCUGGGGAGUACGCCGGCAACGGUG